rnacentral:rRNA from 1 species
UCCUACGGGGGGCAGCAGUGGGGAAUAUUGCACAAUGGGGGAAACCCUGAUGCAGCGACGCCGCGUGAAGGAAGAAGUAUUUCGGUAUGUAAACUUCUAUCAGCAGGGAAGAAAAUGACGGUACCUGACUAAGGAGCCCCGGCUAACUACGUGCCAGCAGCCGCGGUAAUACGUAGGGGGCAAGCGUUAUCCGGAUUUACUGGGUGUAAAGGGAGCGUAGACGGCAUUGCAAGUCUGAUGUGAAAGAUUGGGGCUCAACCCCAGGCCUGCAUUGGAAACUGUAAAGCUGGAGUACAGGAGAGGUA